rnacentral:misc_RNA from 1 species
GGAUGAAGAACGUAGCGAAAUGCGAUACGUAAUGUGAAUUGCAGAAUUCAGUGAAUCAUCGAGUCUUUGAACGCACAUUGCGCCCCCUGGUAUUCCGGGGGGCAUGCCUGUCCGAGCGUCAUUGCUGCCCUCAAGCACGGCUUGUGUGUUGGGCCUCCGCCCCCCGGCUCCCGGGGGGCGGGCCCGAAAGGCAGCGGCGGCACCGCGUCCGGUCCUCGAGCGUAUGGGGCUUCGUCACCCGCUCCGUAGGCCCGGCCGGCGCCCGCCGGCGACCCCCCUCAAUCUUUCCUGGUUGACCUCGGAUCAGGUAGGGAUACCCGCUGAACUUAAGCAUAUCAAUAAGCGGAGGA